UAUUGGUCAAUGGUCGGGAGACUGAACCGGCCAAGCCGCGUGAGGGAUGAAGGUACAGAGUAUCGUAAACCUCUUUUGUCAGGGAACAAAGGCGGGGACGCGUCCCCGGACGAGUGUACCUGAAGAAAACGCAUCGGCUAACUCCGUGCCAGCAGCCGCGGUAAUACGGAGGAUGUGAGCGUUGUCCGGAUUUAUUGGGUUUAAAGGGUGCGCAGGCGGUCUGUUAAGUCAGCGGUCAAAGCUCGGGGCUCAACCCCGGUCCGCCGUUGAAACUGGCAGUCUCGAGUUGGAGAGAAGUAUGCGGAAUGCGCGGUGGAGCGGUGAAAUGCAUAGAUAUCGCGCAGAACUCCGAUUGCGAAGGCAGCAUGCCGGCUCCACACUGACGCUGAGGCACGAAAGCGUGGGUAUCGAACAGG
rnacentral:rRNA from 1 species